rnacentral:rRNA from 1 species
GAUGAACGCUGGCGGCGUGGAUAAGGCAUGCAAGUCAAGGGGGCCUCGCAAGAGGCAACCGGCAGACGAGGUAGUAAUAAGUAGGUAUGUCCCUUCGAGUCGCGAAUAGCCCGUCGAAAGACGGGGUAAUACGCAAUGGUCCCUCCGGGGUAAAGAUUUAUCGCUCGAAGAACGGCCUGCUCGGUAUCAGCUAGUUGGCGGUGUAAAAGACCACCAAGGCUAUGACGCCUAGGGGAGCUGAGAGGCUGACCCCCACCGAUGGGACUGAGACACGGCCCAUACACCUACGGGUGGCUGCAGUCGAGAAUCUUCCGCAAUGGACGAAAGUCUGACGGAGCGACGCCGCGUGCAGGAUGAAGUUCUUCGGGAUGUAAACUGCUUUUAUGAGCGAGAAAGUUUAUUGAUCAGCUCAUGAAUAAGAGGUUGCUAAACUCGUGCCAGCAGCAGCGGUAAUACGAGUGCCUCGAGCGUUAUCCGGAAUCAUUGGGCGUAAAGGGUGUGUAGGUGGUGGCGUUAGUCUUUCGUUAAAUUCUUUGACUUAAUCAAAGCCAUGCGGGGGAAACGGCGCGACUUCGAGGAUGCGAGGGGAGAGCGGAACUCAUAGUGUAGCGGUGAAAUGCGUUGAUAUUAUGGGGAACACCAAAAGCGAAGGCAGCUCUCUGGAGCACUCCUGACACUGAAACACGAAAGCGUGGGUAGCGAACGGGAUUAGAUACCCCGGUAGUCCACGCCCUAAACGAUGAUCACUAGCUAUUCGGAGUAUCGACCCUCCAAGUGGCGCAGCCAACGCGUUAAGUGAUCCGCCUGGGUAGUACGGCCGCAAGGCUAAAACUCAAAGGAAUAGACGGGGACUUGCACAAGCGGAGGAACAUGUGGUUCAAUUCGAUGGUAAACGAAAAACCUUACCAGGGUUAGAAAUCUAACUGAAGACAGGCGGAAACGUUUGUCGCCGCAAGGCAGUUAGACAGGUGUUGCAUGGUCGUCGUCAGUUCGUGGCUUGAGUUGUUCCCUUCAGUGGGGUAACGAACGCAACCCCCGUUGCCUGUUACACGUAUCAGGCGAGACUGCCCAGCUUUUUGUUCACAAAUUUUUGCGAAUAAAAAGCUGGGAGGAAGGUGGGGAUGACGCCAGAUCAGCAUGACCCUCUGAUAUCCUGGGCUACACACGUGUUACAAUGCCGGCUACAACGCGAGGCGAAGGGGAAACCCGGAGCAAAUCGUCAGAAAAGUCGGCCAAGUUCGGAUUGAGGUCUGCAACUCGACCUCAUGAAGCCGGAUUCGCUAGUAAUCGCAGAUCAGCAAUGCUGCGGUGAAUACGUUCUCAAGUCUUGUACUCACCGCCCGUCAACUCAAGGGAGCUGGGAAUACCCGAAGUCGCCCGCUUGUCGGCGCCUAAGGUAAGCUCAGUGAC